CAAAGCCAGACGUGUCAAGCCUGCGGAGCGAAAUAAUAACGCGCCUAAAGACUUGGUGUUGGGUGAUGUGCUAGAUUAAGUGCGCGGUAUUACACAGUCACUAUCAACGGCGAUCACUAGUGAGGUGGCCAAAAAACGAGCUUUAGAGCAUCUAAGAGCGGUUUUAGCCGGUGUACAGACCUUGUUUCCAAAACAGAUCCAGGUUUUCACCGCUAACCUCUUAGAUAUAAUUUCUACAGAAGAUGCCGCUCUAAACUCUGGAUUUCAGACCAUGUUGAUGCUAUUUCAUGCUUCAUUGGUUCAAAUCCCCAGUGAUAAAUGACUAAACAUGCGGUCUAAAAAGUGCUUAAAAGACCGACCGCUUGCCAACCGCAAGCUUUUGUACAUAAAUAAAAGAAUUAAACUGGCAAAAGCAUGUUUGUUGCGUCGUCAAAGAUUCAGAGAGAGGCAUCAGAUUUCCCAAGGGUCGCCCGAGCCACGCAAUGAAAAUGCAGUGGUAGAAAAUAACUUAAGGCCCGAGGUUGUUGUAGCAGAACAGGAUGGUGGUAACCCAGAACCGGUUGUACUGAACGAUCUGAAUCAGGUUGGUGACGGUGCCGUGGCGAAUAGAGACCCCAUAGUAUUCCUGGAGUGUAUGCGUAGUUAUAACAGGUCUUAUAAUAAUUUUAGAGCAACAGAGCACCAUGAAGAAUUUCGUCCAGAGAAUAUUGGAUGAACUUUCUCCAAACAUCGGGGCGAAUGAUUUUGUACAGCUGCGUUUGACUGCGGGUGGUUUUAACAAACCCUUGUUCUCACGCAGGAGACACCCUGGAGAAUUAAAUGCUGCCGAUUUUUUAAGCCACAUCUCAGACCUCUUACAGAGCCACACAGAAGUUCUCACCGAUGACAGCCUCAGAUUAGUGGUGACGAUAGGAAUAUGCAGGGGGGUGCCCGCAGAAGAUUUAAAUCAUUCUGUACA
rnacentral:lncRNA from 1 species